rnacentral:piRNA from 1 species
UACGAUGUAUGGCUGCUGAUCUGGG